CAGUCGUAACAAGGUUUCCGUAGGUGAACCUGCGGAAGGAUCAUUAUUGAAAUAAACCUGAUGAGUUGCUGCUGGCUCUCUAGGGAGCAUGUGCACACUUGUUGUCUUUAUAUCUCCACCUGUGCACCUUUUGUAGAUCUGGAUAUCUCUCUGAGUGCCUAGCAAUUCAGGUUUGAGGAUUGACUUCAUUGUCUCUCCUUACAUUUCCAGGCCUAUGUUUUUUCAUUAUACCCCAAUAUGUAUGUCAUAGAAUGUAAUAAAUGGGCCUUUGUGCCUAUAAAUCUAUACAA
rnacentral:misc_RNA from 1 species